GACAGAGGCCCCAAGCGUUAGGCGGAAUCACUGGGCUUAAAGCGUGUGUAGGCGGAUCGUUAAGUGUCUUGUGAAAUCCCACGGCUCACCCGUGGAACUGCUGGGCAUACUGGCGAUCUUGGGCCAACUAGGGGCAGUCGGAACAAGCGGUGGAGCGGUGAAAUGCGUAGAUAUCAGGAAGAACAUCGGUGGCGAAGGCGCUCUGCUGGACCAUAACUGACACUCAGGGACGAAAGCUAGGGGAGCGAAUGGG
rnacentral:rRNA from 1 species